rnacentral:tRNA from 1 species
AAGAAAGUGACAGAGCGGUGAUGUGGCUGGCUUGAAAUCAGUUUAGGAGGGUUCAACUCCUUCCUUUCUCG